GCAUGCGCGCAGCCUGACGCAGCACGCCGCGUGGGGGAUGAAGGCCUUCGGGUUGUAAACUCCUUUCGACCGGGACGAUUAUGACGGGACCGGGGGAAGAAGCCCCGGGUAACUUCGUGCCCGCAGCCCCGGGAAUA
rnacentral:rRNA from 1 species